GUGCUAGUCUAAUAUUCAUGUGUGUCCUCACAUGAACUCCGACUAGGGACAACUUUAGAAUAACCAUACAAGUAAAGAGUUUCACAUACAAUUCACAUAAUUGCAAAUCAAUUCAAGAAGCCUUUAAUGGAUAUUCAAUGAACACAAUAUACAAAUCAUGGAUACAAAUGGAAUAUCAUCAUCUCUAUGAUUGCCUCUAGGGCAUACCUCCAAC
rnacentral:lncRNA from 1 species